rnacentral:rRNA from 1 species
AAAGGUAGCAUAAUCAAUUGGCUUAUAAUUGAAGUCUAGUAUGAAUGGGAACCCGGGGAAUAACUCUCUCAAAUUAAGAUUUUAAAAUUUGCAUUAUGGGUGAAAAGUCCCAUAGAAAGAAGAAAGACGAGAAGACCCUAGAAAUUUUGUAUAUAAAUUCUAUUGGAUUAUUUUGUUGGGGCGACAUAGUAACAUAUAACUUACUGUAUGAGACAAGCAUCUAAUAAGCUGGAAGAAUAAAUUACUCUAGGGAUAACAGCACUAUUCAAAAUUGAGUUUAUGACCUCGAUGUUGGACUAGGAAAUAAUUUCUUUAGAAGAUAAAUUAGUAGGCUCUGUUCGAGCUAUUUUUCCUACAU